rnacentral:rRNA from 1 species
UUAUUGGAGAGUUUGAUCCUGGCUCAGGACGAACGCUGGCGGCGUGCCUAAUACAUGCAAGUCGAGCGGACUUGUGAGAGCUUGCUCUCGCAAGUUAGCGGCGGACGGGUGAGUAACACGUGGGCAACCUGCCUGUAAGACUGGGAUAACUUCGGGAAACCGGAGCUAAUACCGGAUAAUUCUUUUCUACACAUGUAGGAAAGCUGAAAGAUGGCUUCGGCUAUCACUUACAGAUGGGCCCGCGGCGCAUUAGCUAGUUGGUGAGGUAACGGCUCACCAAGGCAACGAUGCGUAGCCGACCUGAGAGGGUGAUCGGCCACACUGGGACUGAGACACGGCCCAGACUCCUACGGGAGGCAGCAGUAGGGAAUCUUCCGCAAUGGACGAAAGUCUGACGGAGCAACGCCGCGUGAGUGAUGAAGGUUUUCGGAUCGUAAAACUCUGUUGUUAGGGAAGAACAAGUACCGUUCGAAUAGGGCGGUACCUUGACGGUACCUAACCAGAAAGCCACGGCUAACUACGUGCCAGCAGCCGCGGUAAUACGUAGGUGGCAAGCGUUGUCCGGAAUUAUUGGGCGUAAAGCGCGCGCAGGUGGUUCCUUAAGUCUGAUGUGAAAGCCCACGGCUCAACCGUGGAGGGUCAUUGGAAACUGGGGAACUUGAGUGCAGAAGAGGAAAGUGGAAUUCCACGUGUAGCGGUGAAAUGCGUAGAGAUGUGGAGGAACACCAGUGGCGAAGGCGACUUUCUGGUCUGUAACUGACACUGAGGCGCGAAAGCGUGGGGAGCGAACAGGAUUAGAUACCCUGGUAGUCCACGCCGUAAACGAUGAGUGCUAAGUGUUAGGGGGUUUCCGCCCCUUAGUGCUGCAGCUAACGCAUUAAGCACUCCGCCUGGGGAGUACGGCCGCAAGGCUGAAACUCAAAGGAAUUGACGGGGGCCCGCACAAGCGGUGGAGCAUGUGGUUUAAUUCGAAGCAACGCGAAGAACCUUACCAGGUCUUGACAUCCUCUGCCAACCCUAGAGAUAGGGCGUUCCCCUUCGGGGGACAGAGUGACAGGUGGUGCAUGGUUGUCGUCAGCUCGUGUCGUGAGAUGUUGGGUUAAGUCCCGCAACGAGCGCAACCCUUGAUCUUAGUUGCCAGCAUUCAGUUGGGCACUCUAAGGUGACUGCCGGUGACAAACCGGAGGAAGGUGGGGAUGACGUCAAAUCAUCAUGCCCCUUAUGACCUGGGCUACACACGUGCUACAAUGGAUGGUACAAAGGGCUGCGAGACCGCGAGGUUAAGCGAAUCCCAUAAAACCAUUCUCAGUUCGGAUUGCAGGCUGCAACUCGCCUGCAUGAAGCCGGAAUCGCUAGUAAUCGCGGAUCAGCAUGCCGCGGUGAAUACGUUCCCGGGCCUUGUACACACCGCCCGUCACACCACGAGAGUUUGUAACACCCGAAGUCGGUGGGGUAACCGUAAGGAGCCAGCCGCCUAAGGUGGGACAGAUGAUUGGGGUGAAGUCGUAACAAGGUAGCCGUAUCGGAAGGUGCGGCUGGAUCACCUCCUUU